rnacentral:rRNA from 1 species
GAUGAACGCUGGCGGCGUGCCUAAUACAUGCCAGUCGAGCGAACAGACGAGGAGCUUGCUCCUCUGACGUUAGCGGCGGACGGGUGAGUAACACGUGGAUAACCUACCUAUAAGACUGGGAUAACUUCGGGAAACCGGAGCUAAUACCGGAUAAUAUAUUGAACCGCAUGGUUCAAUAGUGAAAGACGGUUUUGCUGUCACUUAUAGAUGGAUCCGCGCCGCAUUAGCUAGUUGGUAAGGUAACGGCUUACCAAGGCAACGAUGCGUAGCCGACCUGAGAGGGGGAUUCGCCACACUGGAACUGAGACACGGUCCAGACUCCUACGGGAGGCAGCAGUAGGGAAUCUUCCGCAAUGGGCGAAAGCCUGACGGAGCAACGCCGCGUGAGUGAUGAAGGUCUUCGGAUCGUAAAACUCUGUUAUUAGGGAAGAACAAAUGUGUAAGUAACUAUGCACGUCUUGACGGUACCUAAUCAGAAAGCCACGGCUAACUACGUG